rnacentral:rRNA from 1 species
UACGUAGGGUGCGAGCGUUGCCCGGAUUUAUUGGGCGUAAAGGGCGCGUAGGCGGUCAAGCACGUCCGUUGUGAAAUCGCCCGGCUCAACUGGGCGGGGUCAGCGGAUACGGCGCGGCUGGAGCAAGCUAGGGGGCAAUGGAAUUCCCGGUGUAGUGGUGGAAUGCGUAGAUAUCGGGAGGAACACCAGUGGCGAAGGCGGUUGCCUGGAGCUUUGCUGACGCUGAAGCGCGAAAGCUAGGGGAGCAAACAGG